GCGUGCUCUCGGGGGGAAAGGGCAGAAAGGCCUCUCCAGGCAGUCUGCGGAGCGGGAAUUCCCUAACUGCCCCCGCAUUGUAAUCAGCUUUAAAAACAGAAGACUCAUCCAAUUUUGGACACUCAGAUUUGUUUCAAAGUAUGAGAAGGCCAUCCUCAAAUCAGAGCUUUCUUCAUGUUGGGAAAAAAAAUAUAUCCCCAGGAAAUCUCCUCAAACGGCACAUUUUCCCUCAGACUUCGGCCUUUUCCUCAGCGGCCUCCGGCCUUUUCCAGCUACUGUUGUGCCAAUACAUCGUUAAUGAAGACCGUCAGAUAAGAAAUUUUACCUGAGCCGUGCAAAGAAACUCAUCCAGCACACCAGUAAAGAAAUAAAAUCCACCUUGGUGUUUGGCAUAUGUCUUUCUCCUUUCCCCCCUCACCUGCCAUACCACCAUGCAGAUGUAUUCUACUUUACCUCUGAAAAAGAAGGAAAAGAGGAUGGAAGAUGCUGAUACAGCUGCUUGAAUAAAGAGAUGCCCUGUUAAGCUGCAAUCUGUAACUCACUAGG